ACCAACGCUCAUUUCACGUUGUUUCGCACCGGUUCUCGUCCGAUCACCGAAGUUAAGCAACGUUGAGCGCGGUUAGUACUUGGAUGGGUGACCGCUUGGGAAUACCGCGUAGUGUUGGUU